CAUGGGGGAACCUGGAUGCAGCGACGCCGCGUGAGUGAAGAAGUAUUUCGGUAUGUAAAGCUCUAUCAGCAGGGAAGAAAAUGACGGUACCUGACCAAGAAGCCCCGGCUAACUACGUGCCAGCAGCCGCGGUAAUACAAAA
rnacentral:rRNA from 1 species